GGAUAACGUUUGGAAACGAACGCUAAUACCGCAUAAAAUAUCGGAGUCGCAUGGCACUGAUAUCAAAGGAGCAAUCCGCUGAAAGAUGGGCUCGCGUCCGAUUAGGCAGUUGGCGGGGUAACGGCCCACCAAACCGACAAUCGGUAGCCGGACUGAGAGGUUGAACGGCCACAUUGGGACUGAGACACGGCCCAGACUCCUACGGGAGGCAGCAGUGGGGGAUAUUGCACAAUGGGGGAAACCCUGAUGCAGCGAUGCCGCGUGAAUGAAGACGGCCUUCGGGUUGUAAAGUUCUGUCGCAGGGGACGAAAAUGACGGUACCCUGCAAGAAAGCUCCGGCUAACUACGUGCCAGCAGCCGCGGUAAUACGUAGGGAGCAAGCGUUGUCCGGAAUUACUGGGUGUAAAGGGAGCGUAGGCGGGAGGAUAAGUUGAAUGUGAAAUCUAUGGGCUCAACCCAUAGCUGCGUUCAAAACUGUUCUUCUUGAGUGGAGUAGAGGCAGGCGGAAUUCCUAGUGUAGCGGUGAAAUGCGUAGAUAUUAGGAGGAACACCAGUGGCGAAGGCGGCCUGCUGGGCUUUUACUGACGCUGAGGCUCGAAAGCGUGGGUAGCAAACAGGAUUAGAUACCCUGGUAGUCCACGCGGUAAACGAUGAUUACUAGGUGUGGGUGGACUGACCCCAUCCGU
rnacentral:rRNA from 1 species